CAGUCUCCCACUUAUUCGAGAUUCUCAAUAUUCUCAUUGUCUUUGUAAUCUAUACCCGUGAAAAUUAUUUAUUUAAUUAUUGUGCAAUUAAAUUAUAAAUAUUCGUCACUUAAGAAUCUUUUUUUGUGACAUGAAAAAUAUUUUAGAAUAUUAAUUUAUGUGAGUGAGUGGUUUUAAGUUUUGAUAUAAAUUAAAUUCAGUGCCGGCUUAGUGUACAUUCCGCGUUACUGUGCGCCAUGUUGAUUGUUGGAGUUUUAAUUGACUAAUUAAAUUUAAAAAUUGUCUUCAUCUUAAAAAAAAUUAUUUCCGAGUGAUUAUUGAGUUGAGUGAUUAAUUAUUUUUAUAAAUUUUAAUUAUUUAGUGAAUGUUAGUGUAUUUACUGUAUUAAUUUGUGCAUGGACGCGGAUUCGCAGCAGAGAAUGAAAAAGGCGGGAAGAGAGUCAAAUUCGAACAUCUUAUGGACGGUCACUUAGGAUUAGCAGUAAGAGGAACGAAAAUGUGGGAUGAUUAUAAUUACUGGCCGUCUUCAGAGCACAAAUGGUUUCUUCCAAAAGUUAUACGCAAUAUCAUCAGAGAAAAAAUCAUAAUAAAGGAUUAUAUAAAUUCAGCAGAAUCAACUACUCAAAAUAUACUAAUCAGUCGUUCAGGAUUAAAUUAUGUUGAUUUAUCUGUGGGGUUGUUAUCCCACGAAUACAAUAAUUUACCAGUCAUUCCUUUCUUUGACACACAAGAUGUCGUAUUGGAUCCUUCAGUUCCACUUGGUGGACUAGGCUUAUAUUUCAAAGGACAACUUGGUUACGGCGGAUUUUUGGCUUUCCAGUUAAUUACGUCUGAAUAUUCAUUCAACAUGAACUCGGAAUUGUUAUGCUCAAAAACUCCAUAGCCAUUUAUAAUGGGUCUGAUAAGUGACAAAUUAUGGUACGGGUUAAUUGUGUAUGGACAAUCUUAGACAGGACUUUUUGCUUUUAUGAGUCCAAUUACUUGUAAUGUCAUAAGUGCAUUAAAGGUAUUUUCAGACGUAUCUUCCCCCCCCUCCCAAUUUUUUUAAUUCAUCCGUAGACAUAACUUAGUGUCUACGUAGAUGAGAAUUGGACUGCCUCGACAUUCCCAUAGAGAACCUGAGAUGCAACACUGUAUUACUUUUUAAUACAUAAUUGAUAUAGUGUAGAAAGAAAAGUAGUUAGUCUGAGGACUCAGCAAAUACUGGCACUCGACUGAAUUCGAUCUAUUGGUUUGUCUUUUUACAUUUUCUCAAUAAAACCUACAAUUAAUUAACCCUUCAUUUCGGGUUGUCAUUACUUUCUUAAACUUAAAAUAGUGAAAAAAGUUACUAUUCACUGCUUACUAGUGGAAAUUAUGUCACUAAUUCAAAUAGUGGUAUACUUUUCACUGGCAAUAAGUAACUAUUUACUGCUAAAUAGUGAUUUUCACUAAUUCAUUUGUAAAGAAUAGCCAUCCCAAUACCUCACCAACACAAGCCUACAGAUUUUAGACGCUGAUGCCAACUGGCGAAAUAACCAACCUAAUAAUAAAGGCUAUUACCGGAUGCCCAGCCAUCCUUCAAAUUGCCCAUCCUUAUGACCAGAAAGGGCAGAUGGGAUCGGAUAAAUAAAUAAAAAAUCGUAAAAAUGAAUCAAUUUUAAUAAUUUAUAAAAUAAUCGACGACCAGAGCCCGCUGGGGGUCUAUCGACACCCUAGUGAAGCCCAACCUAGACAUUAAUGGACAAAUAUAAUAUUUGAAAACAAAUGAAUUGGAAUUGACAAUUUUCCGUUUUUCACACUAGGUUGUCUUAUUCCCAAUUUAUACUUAAAUCUUUUUUCUUUUUCAAGUGAUAAAAUUUGAUUACGGUUUUGACAGUUAUCAUUGGUCAUGUUUAGAAAGUGGGAACUACUGUCUAAGAUUGUCCUUCAAUUCGUACCAAAUAGACGAUACAAUUUUAA